rnacentral:tRNA from 1 species
GGUGGAUGUAGCUCAGCUGGUUAGAGCGCUGGAUUGUGGUUCCAGAGGUCGCCGGUUCGAACCCGGUCUUCCACCC